GAUGAACGCUAGCGGCAGGCCUAAUACAUGCAAGUCGAGGGGUAGUGGUUGCUUGCAGCCAUGAGACCGGCGCACGGGUGCGUAACGCGUAUGCAACCUACCUUCAUCUGGGGGAUAGCCCGGAGAAAUCCGGAUUAAUACCGCAUAAAAUCACAGUACGGCAUCGUACAAUGAUCAAACAUUUAUGGGAUGGAGAUGGGCAUGCGUGUCAUUAGUUAGUUGGCGGGGUAACGGCCCACCAAGACCGCGAUGACUAGGGGAUCUGAGAGGAUGACCCCCCACACUGGUACUGAGACACGGACCAGACUCCUACGGGAGGCAGCAGUAAGGAAUAUUGGUCAAUGGGCGCAAGCCUGAGCCAGCCAUGCCGCGUGCAGGAAGACGGCCCUCUGGGUUGUAAACUGCUUUUAUUCGGGAAUAAACCUGCUUACGUGUAAGUAGCUGAAUGUACCGAAGGAAUAAGGAUCGGCUAACUCCGUGCCAGCCGCCGCAGUAAUAC
rnacentral:rRNA from 1 species